rnacentral:sRNA from 16 species
CGCCAUAUCAGUGAUAUGGUUGUUGUGUUAGAUAUUGUUAUAAUGAUCCGGAUGAUUUUUAUGAAAAAGACAUUAUUGGCCAGUUCUUUG